rnacentral:tRNA from 1 species
GAAAUGUUAGUAAAACAAUUACACAGCCUUGUCAAGGCUGAAUUACAGGCGUAAACCCUGUACAUCUCA